rnacentral:rRNA from 1 species
GACGUAGGGCGCGAGCGUUGCUCGGAAUUAUUGGGCGUAAAGCGCGUGUAGGCGGCCUGUUAAGUCGGUUGUGAAAACCCAUGGCUCAACCAUGGAAGUGCGUCCGAAGCUGGCAGGCUUGAGUCCUGACGAGGAUGGCGGAAUUCCCAGUGUAGAGGUGAAAUUCGUAGAUAUUGGGAAGAACACCGGUGGCGAAGGCGGCUCUCUGGACCGAUACUGACGCUGAGGCGCGAAAGCGUGGGGAGCAAACAGG